CUUAUAAUGGCCAUGUAAUUUGCCUCUUCUCAACAGCUUUACAGAACUGGUAUUCAUCAUCAACUCAGACUUUUCAGCAUACAACAGAGUGGCAGUGGUGGUACACAGCUCAGGAGCCCACAAUGUCCUUCAGCGAUGGCGAACUGCUAAAAUUUGUCUCCAACAAUCCCAGUGGACCUGAAAGCACAUGUAAAGGGAGACAAAAUUGGAUACAAGUCUCAGAAGGACGGCAUAAGGAUUUAACAAUACCUCUUGGACUUAACUCCAUUGAUGAGGGUAAUGGGAUGAGUGAGGUUUGAAGAUCCAUCUUUGUGCCUGACAAGGAAAUACACUUCUCAUAACUGUAGAAAAGGAGAGAGAUUUAGUUCACUUCUUCCUGCUUCAGUAGCUCAUGGUUAUAGUGCUGAUGGUUCCUGCCCAAAUCCUCACUUGUCAGCUGUCAGGAGGGCUGUCAUGCUAUUUUUCCUAUUUCAUGAUAGACAUUACACCAUUUCCUUACUGUUGUAAUGGAAAUUUUACCCUGUGAUGGUAUGAACAAGUUGCAUAGUUAAAUAUCUGCCAGGCAACUUUCAGAAUUUCUUUAUAAUCCUAUCUCAGUGUUACACUUAUUUAGACCUACUGCAUUA